GGCGGCCGCCAUGUUUCCUGAACACAAAAUGGCGACACGUGGUUAGCAUUCGUCGCCAACGAGAAAUUGGGGUCGGCCCGAAAGCUCUAGAAUGCACCCCUCUUCCUCCCCGGGGCCUUCCACCUCCGCGAGUUUUAUGACUUAAAAAAGCCCACAGGCUGGUCUGAAGAGGAAGACAAACAUAAAGAUGAAGUGCUUAAUUCAAGGUCACACAAUGUCGGGGAUGGACCUCCAGAUUUCCUUACUGGUGAGACGUGGUCUUGUAACACAGUGGUUAAGAAUGUGACUUUGGAGCCAGCCUGCUAGGGGCUGAAUUCUGACUCAGCCAUUUACUAACUGUGUGACCUUAGGUGGAGUCUCACUCUGUAGCCCAAGCUGGAGUGGCGUGAUCUCGACUCACUGCAACCUCCGCCUCCUGGGAUCAAGUGAUUCUCGUGCCUCAGCCUCCUGAGUAGCCGGGACUACAGGUCACAGAAUUUUCCACACUCCUUGACAGAGGUGCUUAACCCUUAUCCAUCAGCAUUCUCAGACAGCACCUCCGGUUAGGGACAGUAUCUGACCGUCCGACAUCCCUGCAGCCCCCAUGUGUCACACAGACUCAGCCUCAGGUAGAUGGUUUCCGUAGAUGGUGGCUUUCUUUGGACCCUUGACAUCAACCAGUUACUAUUUGGGGACCAGAUGUGCAGAGGUAAUGAAUACCAGGGAAUCAGGAAACCACUGGAUCAGUUCUUUGAGCCACAGAACAACACUCAUCCCAGCAGCUGGGAAGCUAUCUGCAAAAGUCCAUCUGCAGAAAGGGCUUCCUGGUCUUGCGUGUGGCUGGGCCAUUUCUCUGGAUGCAGGUUUUUCAUUAUACAGUCUUCUCAAAGAACCACCUGCUCUCAACACCUUCUCGGUGACUCCAUUUCCCCUCCUCUGGGCUCCUGGAAUGCCACAAUGGCCCCACCUUAGCCAGGCAGCUGUGAUGAGAGGUGUUGACCCAACUGCCUCUCUGCUGGCUCACUGAAUCAGGUGGAAGGGGCUGGGGACAGCACAGUCUUGCAUUGUGGUUGGGGACCUGGGCCAUCCAGAGGCAGGACUGUCCAAAGGCAGGGUACUGCUGGGAUUCCGCCAGGCACUGGGUGAUGCAUGGCAUAGGGAGCUGAAGAGGGACAGGCUCUUGGCCAGGAAAAACAGCCCCAGAGCCACAGGUGUGCCAUCGAGUCUUCCUCCUCUCCCAUCCUUAAUCACUCCUGUUUGGUGACAGCACACAGCUAGGCCUGGAGCCCAGCAAAGAGCCCCUGGGUCCCAGAGGAAGUUGUUCUGGGGGCUGGAGACAAUCACAAAUGCCAGGUUUGUGAGCCCCAGACUCUGGUUCAUAGCAAGAGGCAGACUUGUGAACAAACCACCAGAUCACACCGUAAAACACGCUCAACGAGGAGUGGGUGCCCUUUCUAGGGACAGGCAGAAGGCUCCAUGGAGUGACCUUUGAAUGGGGACAUAAAAGUGGAUCCCUUCAACAGCCCCUGCACAGCCCCAAGUCAGGCCUCCAGCCCUUGGACUCACAGAUGUCCUCUGUAGACGACUGGAUGUCCUCCCGUGCUACCCUUUACCCCUGCAGCGAGGGGCACAGAGCCAGAGCCCUCCAGGUCCUCACCACUGGCAUCACCAACAUAGUGGACAUUUUCCCUCUCAGAAUGAAAAGGGAGUGAAAUUUCCCGUGAUCUUUCCACAAAUGACCAGCUUGGGGAGUGGGAGAGGAAGUGCUGCAGUGCCUGGGGAAGGGGCCCUGGAACAGUUCCUGGAAAUGGAGAGGGGUGGAUAGGGUGGAGACAAUGCUCAUGGAGUGCAGUAUGGGGCCUACCCAGAGUUGCUUGGCCACCCCUCUGCCUCUGAAUCAGGGGUGAUCAAUGAAGGAAAAUUACUGCA
rnacentral:lncRNA from 1 species